CUGCAUCCACAUUCAGGGAUGCAGUAGCAUGCAGUGCAACCAGUGACGGAUCACUGCAUCCACCUUCAUGGGCCCGGUAUUCUCUAUCACAACAUACUGCAUCCACAUUCUCGGACAAUGCAGGGGUCACUGCAUCCACUGCAGCAACACUGCACCCAGCUGAAGUGUGACUGCAGGAGCACUGCAAUCACUGCAGGAUCACUGCAUUCACCUUCAUGGGCACUACAUACUACAACACACCACAAUGCCUCCACAUUGUGGGACACUGCAUCCACUGCAUGAGCACUGCAUCCACAUUUCAGGACAAUGCAGGGGGCAUUGCAACCACUGCAGGACACUAUAUACAGCUGAAGUGGCACUGAAGGCAUACUGAUAUAACUGUCGACUCACUGAAUCCAACUCUUGGGUGCUGCAUCCACAGACAGGAACACAGAACGAGGCACUGCAACCACUGCAGGGACACAACAGCCAGCUGAAGUUGCACUGCAGGUGCACUGCAAUGACUGCAGUAUCACUGAAUCCUCCUUCAUGAUCACUGAAUCCUCCAUCACAACAUAAGGCAUCCACCUUGAGGGACACUGCAUCCACUGCAUGAGCACUGCAUCCACAUUCAGGUAAACUGCAGGGGGCACUGCAACCACUGCAGGAUCACUGCAUCCACCUUCAUGGGCACUGCAUCCUCCGUAACAACAUACUGCAUGCACAUUGUGGGACACUGCAUCCACUGCAUGGGGUCUGCAUCCACAUUCAGGGACACUGCAGUUGGCUCUGCAACCACUGCAGCAACACUGCAUCCAGCUGAAGUUGCACAACAAGAGCACUACAAUCACUUCAGGCUCACUACAUCCACCUUCGUGGGCACUGCAUCCUCCAUCACAGCAUACGGCAUCCACCUUGUGGGAUACUGCAUGGGCACUGCAUCCACAUUCAGGAAAACUGUAGGGGUCACUGCAACCACUGCAGCAACACUGCAUCCAGCUGAACUGGCACUGCAGAUGCACUGCCAUCACUUCAGGAUCACUGCAUUCACCAUCAUCAGCACUGCAUCCUACAGCAAACGCCAAUGCCUCCACAUUGUGGGACACUGCAUCCACGGCAAGAGAACUGCAUCCACAUUCAAGGAAAAUGCAGGGGGCAUUGCAACCACUGCAGGUACACUGCAUCCACCUGAAGUGGCACUGAAGGCGUACAGCAAUCACUGCCGGCUCAAUGUGUACAAAUCCAGGGCUCUUCAUCCUCUGUCACAACAUACGGCAAUCAACAUUUGGUGCGCUGCAUCCACUGUAAGGGCACUGCAUCCACAUUCAGGGACACAGGACGGGGCACUGCAGGGACACUGCAACACACGGAAGUGGCACUGUGAGUUCACUGCAAUGACUGCAGGAUCACUGCAUCCUCCUUCAUGAUCACUGAAUCUUCCAACACAUCAUAAGGCAUCCACCUUUAGGGACAAAGCAUCCACUGCAUGAGCACUGCAUCCACAUUCAGUUAAACUGCAGGGGCACUGCAACCACAUCAGGAUCACUGCGUCCACCUUCACGGGCACUGCAUCCACCCUAACAACAUACUGCAUGCACAUUGUGGGACACUGCAUCUACUGCAUAGGGACAGCAUCCAUGUUCAGUGUCACUGCACUUGGCUCUGCAACCACUGCAGCAACACUCCAUCCAGCUGAAGUGGCACUGCAAGUGCACUGCAAUCACUUCAGGCUCACUGCAUCCACCUUCGUGGGCACUGCAUCCUGCGUCACAGCAUACCGCAUCCACCUUUUGUGACGCAUGCACUGCAUCAGCACUGAAUACACAUUGAGGGAAACUGGAGGGGGCACUGCAAACACUGCAGGUUCACCGCACCCACCUUCAUUUGCAAUGCAUCCUGCGACAAAACAUACUGCAUCUGCCUUGUGAGACACUGCAUCCACUGCAUGACCCCGGCAUCAAAAUUCCAGCACAAUGCCAGGGUGCCUGCAACAACUGAAGUGACACUGUAUGUGCCUUAAUGCGCACUGCAUCCUCGGUCAAAACAUACUGCAUAAACCUUUAGGUACACUGCCUCAUCUUCAAGGGUACUGCAUUCACCUUCAGGGACACAGAAGGUGGCACUGAAACCACUGCAGGGACACUGCAUCCAGAUGAAGUGGCACUGCACGUGCAAUGCAAUGACUACAGGAUCACUGCAUCAUCCUUCAUGGGCAGUGAAUCCUGCUUGACAACAUACUGCAUC
ensembl:lncRNA